GAUGAACGCUGGCGGCGUGCCUAAUACAUGCAAGUCGAGCGAACGGACGAGAAGCUUGCUUCUCCGAUGUUAGCGGCGGACGGGUGAGUAACACGUGGAUAACCUACCUAUAAGACUGGGAUAACUUCGGGAAACCGGAGCUAAUACCGGAUAAUAUUUUGAACCGCAUGGUUCAAAAGUGAAAGACGGUCUUGCUGUCACUUAUAGAUGGAUCCGCGCUGCAUUAGCUAGUUGGUAAGGUAACGGCUUACCAGGGCAACGAUGCAUAGCCGACCUGAGAGGGUGAUCGGCCACACUGGAACUGAGACACGGUCCAGACUCCUACGGGAGGCAGCAGUAGGGAAUCUUCCGCAAUGGGCGAAAGCCUGACGGAGCAACGCCGCGUGAGUGAUGAAGGUCUUCGGAUCGUAAAACUCUGUUAUUAGGGAAGAACAUAUGUGUAAGUAACUGUGCACAUCUUGACGGUACCUAAUCAGAAAGCCACGGCUAACUACGUG
rnacentral:rRNA from 1 species